UUUAAGCAGCUUUUCAUUAAAUCACACUUAACUUUUAAAUAAAAGUGACCAACUCUAGUUGAAAGUGCAAAUUGGAAACAAAUAGUUUUUUUUUUCAUUCAACAAAAAAAAACGAGAAAGAACACAUUUUCCGCAUUUUUUAUUGUCAUCAUUUUAAUUUCGAAAUAAUCAACCUCUGACAGAGGCAUCAUGCUCCACUUUAAUGAAGAAAACCCCUUGACAGAGACAGAGUCACAAAGAGCGAGGGAUAUGCAUGGCGAGGUCAAAGAAAGGGAAAGUGGAAAAUAAAUUGAAAACUCAAAUCAAAGUCAAAGUAAAAAGUAACUGGAAAAAAUUGUAAUUAUUACAUGGAAAAGAAGAUUAAUGCCUGCACGAAUAUUUCGGAACACGCUUUGGGCUCUUUGGGAUGACUUUGGAUGACUUAUGUUGUGGGGUCUUAAUCUCUAUGGGAUGAGGAGAACAAGAGGAGACGGGGGAAAUCUCUGACAGAUGGAUGAAUAUAUAUUUUUUCUUUGCAGAUUCGCCAAAUCGUGUUUGCACGCGGGCAUUAUGCAAUUUGCCUCCUCAACUCGUUAUUUUCAUUUUAAGACUGGCUUUGCCUCACUUGGCCAGUUGCGUUUGUUUUUUCUCUCAUUCCCUCUUGCCUCUUUCUAGCUCUUGGCAACUCUUAGCGACCUUGAACAAAAAUAUAAACGCCUUCCAACUAUGCCAAGGAAUCGGCAUACUCAAAAAAGUAGCAAAAAAAAGGUGCGGACCUCAAUGAAAACCUUAGGUCCACCACAGCUGGGGACCUCAUUAAACAAAUGGUCACAAUGAACUUGGGGGCUCUGAGGGUCAACAAAUGCUGGGAAGUCUCAUUGUACUGUAAUCAAGACGUCUUAUCCGCCAUCAAGCCAGAUACUCGAUGAGUUACAGUAGGUAUAUAGACUUCAAUGAGUACUCACAGUUACAGAUGGUUGACCUACUAUAUUCUGUCACCAAUUGUGAAGGUCGGGGACAGUCUCAUCAGUGCUGGAAAAUCGAAAGUUCAUUGAUUAUUUUAUUGAUUCAAGAAUGGAGUGCCUCGGACGUUUUCCGGCUGGUCAGCUACACUUG